GGCGGCGUAGCUCAGUUGGUAGAGCAAACGGUUCAUACCCGUUGAGUCGGUGGUUCGACCCCACUCGCCGCUA
rnacentral:tRNA from 1 species